rnacentral:rRNA from 1 species
UACGGGGGGAGCAAGCGUUGUUCGGAUUUACUGGGCGUAAAGGGCGCGUAGGCGGCCACCGCAAGUCGACUGUGAAAUCUCCGGGCUUAACCCGGAAAGGUCAGCCGAUACUGCGGGGCUAGAGUGCAGAAGGGGCAACUGGAAUUCUCGGUGUAGCGGUGAAAUGCGUAGAUAUCGAGAGGAACACCAGUGGCGAAGGCGAGUCUCUGGACGACUCCUGACACUGAGGCACGAAAGCUAGGGGAGCAAACAGG